UUCAUGACAACAGAACCCACAACAACCAUGACUUGUAUCACCAUCUUCAUCUGGAUUGUUGCCCUCUGUCUCCAAGAGUCCAGAGGCCAGGUCACUGUGACUCAGACCCCUGCAGGGAAAGCUGUUUCAGUCGGUCACUCAGUCAGUCUCAGCUGUAAGACCAGCAGUGCUGUAUACAGUGACAGCAAUGGACACUAUCUGCACUGGUAUCAACAGAAACCUGGAGGAGCUCCUAAACUCCUAAUAUACURGUCUAAAACCCUUCAGUCUGGGACGCCAUCUAGAUUCAGUGGUAGUGGAUCUGGGAGUGACUUCACUCUGACCAUCAGUGGAGUCCAGGCUGAAGAUGCAGGAGAUUACUACUGUCAGAGUAGGCACUACCCCAACAGUGUCUUGGUGUUCACACAGUGAUACAGAGCUGUACAAAAACCUCCCUCAGUCAGACUGCACAGUGACUGUACUGCUACAGCUGGGACCUAAUGCAGGUGCUGAGGGGGAAGAGACAGUGACAUGAAACACUGAUCAGUAGAGGAGGUCAACUUUGAAAAUGGUUAGAAAGUAUCAUACAAAUCACACGUUCUCCAACGUCGUCAUCAUCAUUAUCAUCAUCAUGGUUGUAACUUGUUAUAUUGGUCAUGAACUGAAAGUGUAUAUACAAGUUAUUUGUAGUUUUGAACGACAAUACCAGUCCAUAUGCAGAGUAAGAUCUACAGAAGUAAAAAGAAAAGUAUCAGCCCCCCAAACCAAUUCCCUACAUGCACUUCACCACCAGUUAUUGAUGUGAUCAUCUAGCAUGUAUUAACCCUUUUCAUGAGCUGUUAGAUCUGUGAGACAUGAUGCUGGGCUCAAACAUGAGACACAUUUAUUUUCAUAAAGUAUAAUAUCCAUGUUAUCUAUCAUUAAUUACAUGGUGGCAUAUCUGUAAUGUCUCCCUCCCUGAAUCCACCACAGAGGUUAAAACCAGUCGACCCCCUCACUUCUGGCCCAGUCCAGGGUAUUUCAGGCAAUAAAACUGUUCAAAUGCUAGACUGGUCGCUGUGGGAGUAAAACUGAGAUUUACAUAGACAGGGCUGGUUGGUUCUGCUUGUCCCAGAAUAGAGCAGAACUGUCACCAGAUGUUCACCCUGUCCUCAGGGUUUGGAGGUAGAAAAGACCUGGGGAAAUAUAAUGCAGUGUAGAAUACACAUUG